AUGUUUGAGUGCCUCUGCUGGUGAUGUGAAGGGAUCUUGGCAAGCUCAGAACUCCAGACAUGGAUGUAGUGACCUAUGAUGACAUGCAUGUGACCUUCACUCAGGAAGAGUGGGCUUUGCUGGAUACUUCACAGAAGAGUCUCUACAAAUGUGCGAUGAAAGAGACCUAUAGCAAGCUCACAGCUAUAGGGUACAUUUGGGAAGAACAUACUAUUGAAGACCUUUUUCAACGUUCUAGAAGUCAUGGAAGCAACAAGAAAAGCCACUGAUGCAUCACUUGC
rnacentral:lncRNA from 1 species